ensembl:lncRNA
UAAGUUUUCUGUUCAUCUCGACAGUUUUGGGGAAAAAUGUACAUAUAUUUCAGAUAUUUGGCCGAUGCCCUCAUCUUGAAGGCCCACCGGAGCCUCUUUAAUUAGGUGUCGCGUCCACUCUGAGUGAAGCUAUGUCACCUUUUUAUUCAAAACUACAUGUCCUUUCAUCUGGAAACUACAGUGUAAAAUUAAAACACUAGGAAACACACAGAAAUGAAAUGUUUUAUCUCUGGAAAGUUGCUGGUUAUCACCAGAGCAGUCAUGUAGUGAUUAUUUUUUACCAACAGAGGUAAAGCUACACUGCUACACUACUUCAGCCACGAAGAACUGAACAUGGAAGAGAGCGGAACAUUAUUAUCAUCAGUUAUCAAACAACACCAUUGUCGGUUUCAAGAUGGUCUUGGAGAUUGCAGUAAAGUUGCAUUAAAACCCUGACAUCCUCCUCCAUUGCCAUACAAAGUGGGUUGGAACAAAUUUCAUUCUGCAUUUGGAGGAGGAGGCGGAGCAACAAAGGCAAUACCCUCAUGUCCCGCAGUUUUGGGAUAAAAUCCAUCCAUUAUUGUGGGAGAAAUGGCACUGAAGCAAGACCCACUUUUUACAAGCAGUAGAUACAUGGUUUAGAUUAUUUCACAUUUUGAACAUUGCAUAUCCCAAGCCUGUUUCAGCUGUAAUUACAUUGUCUGUACUAGCUUUGUUCUGUUUGUUUGUUUAUUUGUGAAUUUUGUAAACUAAAACAAUUGUAAGCAAUCUAAUAUGAUAAGGAAGUGAUUAAUAAGACAAUUUCAACUAGUUAUUUAAUUUAAUGGAGGUUUUUGCAACUUUAAAUGUAAAAGAAAUG